rnacentral:tRNA from 1 species
UUUAAGAUGGCAGAAUAGUGCAACGGAUUUAAGCUUCGUAUAUAAAGGUUUAAUUCCUUUUCUUAAAA